rnacentral:lncRNA from 1 species
AUUGAAAACUUUGUUGGGUUUUGCCUAUUCAAUUUUCAUCCUAUGGGAAAUAUGAUUUCUGCGAAAUUCUUCUUCAAUUGAGCUUUAUAUUAGUCCUUUGAAGUUCUUGUAUUGUUCAUCCUGAAAUUAUUGUAUAACUGAAAUUUAUUAUGUAAUGCUUUGUUUGCAUUUCCUUGUUUGAUAAAGGCACAUGCAUAUCUUCGUUGUUCCGCAUGUGCUUCUGAUAUGUGUCAAUGUUAUUGUUCAUACUACCCUUUUGUACUCUGGUGUCUUGUGGGAUAUUGUGAACCUUUGCAAGAAAUGGUAAAGGGAGUUAUGCUUAGAGCCCGCGAUUGCUCUGCCGGCCCCAUUGACUUCACUCAGACGUGGGUGGAUGGAGCUCCCAAACGUGGGAGACUUAUGCUUGGUGGUCAUCCAGAAAUGGAUGAAUCACAUUAUGUAUGUGGUCCCACAGCGCCCUCUAUGUUUAUUGAUAUGAUAUCCAAAGCUUUGUUUAUGAGUUCAUAUUAUGCUUUGGAUAAAAAUGGAAUGCAU